GAUGAACGCUAGCUACAGGCCUAACACAUGCAAGUCGAGGGGCAGCGGGAAGGAAGCUUGCUUUCUUCGCCGGCGACCGGCGCACGGGUGCGUAACGCGUAUCGAACCUACCCUUUACUCGGGAACAGCCUUGCGAAAGCAAGAUUAAUGCCCGAUGUUCCGCGUUUGCUGCAUGGCAAAUUCGGCAAAGAUUUAUUGGUAAAGGAUGGCGAUGCGUCCCAUUAGUUAGUUGGCGGGGUAACGGCCCACCAAGACGACGAUGGGUAGGGGUUCUGAGAGGAAGGUCCCCCACAUUGGAACUGAGACACGGUCCAAACUCCUACGGGAGGCAGCAGUGGGGAAUAUUGCACAAUGGGCGAAAGCCUGAUGCAGCAACGCCGCGUGAAGGAUGAAGGUCUUCGGAUUGUAAACUUCUAUCAGCAGGGAAGAAUAAAUGACGGUACCUGACUAAGAAGCUCCGGCUAACUACGUGCCAGCAGCC
rnacentral:rRNA from 1 species